CUGAGAUCGCCGUAAUGAUUAAUAGGGAUAGUUGGGGGCAUUUGUAUUCCGUCGUCAGAGGUGAAAUUCUUGGAUUGCCGGAAGACAAACUAUUGCGAAAGCAUUUGCCAAGGAUGUUUUCAUUGAUCAAGAACGAAGGAAGGGGGAUCGAAAACGAUCAGAUACCGUUGUAGUCUCUUCUGUAAACUAUGCCAAUUGGGGAUCAGCUCAGGAUUUUUAAUGACUGAGUUGGCACCCGAAGAGAAAUCUUUAAAUGAGGUUCGGGGGGGAGUAUGGUCGCAAGGCUGAAACUUAAAGGAAUUGACGGAAGGGCACCACCAGGUGUGGAGCCUGCGGCUUAAUUUGACUCAACACGGGGAAACUCACCAGGUCCAGACACAAUAAGGAUUGACAGAUUGAUAGCUCUUUCUUGAUCUUGUGGUUGGUGGUGCAUGGCCGUUCUUAGUUGGUGGAGUGAUUUGUCUGGUUAAUUCCGAUAACGAACGAGACCUUAACCUGCUAAAUAGACCAGCCGGCUUUGGCUGGCUGCUGUCUUCUUAGAGGGACUAUCAGCGUUUAGCUGAUGGAAGUUUGAGGCAAUAACAGGUCUGUGAUGCCCUUAGAUGUUCUGGGCCGCACGCGCGCUACACUGACAGAGCCAGCGAGUAAUAACCUUUGCCGGAAGGCAUGGGUAAUCUUGUGAAACUCUGUCGUGAUGGGGAUAGA
rnacentral:rRNA from 1 species